UAAAUACAUAUUCUUGUUUUAUUUAUACUUUAUUCAACAUUUAACAAAUGUAACUAAACUCCAUGUUACAGUUAGUUGAAUUGUUUGGUUCCAUGCUUGUGUUUGUUUCAAACUCCAUCCAAUAUUUUAUCUUUAUCACUGACCUCAACCCAGAGUCUUUUAGAGUGUUCACAGACCAUAAAAAUAGAGUAUAUGAAUCCAUAAAUACCUCAUAUAGCACUGUAGUCCACCACAAACAACUGUGACGAUUUACACACAAAAAUAGAGUAUAGUAUACUUCAUUUCAAAUUCAUAUAGUCGUUAUAUCAUUAUAUGGAUACUUAGGUGCUUUUUCAUAAACUGUAAUACAGAGCACUUCGCAUAUAGUGAUAAUCUGUGCAGGACUGUCAGCGAUUGAUCACUAUACAGUAUUCACUAUCAGCAGAGUGGUGUAUACAGUAUUCACUAACAGAGUGGUGCAUACAGUAUUCACUAUUAACAGAGUGGUGUAAACAGUAUUCACUAUUAGCAGAGUGUUGUAUACAGUAUUCACUAUUAGCAGAGUGGUGUAUACAGUAUUCACUAUCAGCAGAGUGGUGUAUACAGUAUUCACUAACAGAGUGGUGCAUACAGUAUUCACUAUUAACAGAGUGGUGUAAACAGUAUUCACUAUUAGCAGAGUGUUGUAUACAGUAUUCACUAUUAGCAGAGUGGUGUAUACAGUAUUCACUAACAGAGUGGUGUAUACAGUAUUCACUAUUAGCAGUGUGGUGUAUACAGUAUUCACUAUUAGCAGAGUGGUGUAUACAGUAUUCACUAACAGAGUGGUGUAUACAGUAUUCACUAUUAGCAGUGUGGUGUAUACAGUAUUCACUAACAGAGUGGUGUAUACAGUAUUCACUAUUAACAGUGUGGUGUAUACAGUAUUCACUAUUAACAGAGUGGUGUACAGUAUUCACUAUUAGCAGAGUGUGCUAUAUACAGUAUUCACUAUUAGCAGAGUAUACUGUAUACAGUAUUCACUAUUAACAGAGCAUACUGUAUACAGUAUGCACUAUUAGCAGAGUAUACUGUAUACAGUAUUCACUAUUAGCAGUGUGUACUGUAUACAGUAGUCACCAUUAGCAGAGUAUACUGUAUACAGUAUUCACUAUUAGCAGAGUAUACUGUAUACAGUAUUCACUAUUAACAGAGUGGUGUAGAGUAUUCACUAUUAGCAGAGUGUGCUGUAUACAGUAUUCACUAUUAGCAGAGUGUACUGUAUACAGUAUUCACUAUUAGCAGAGUGGUGUAUACAAUAUUCACUAUUUGCAGAGUGUACUGUAUACAGUAUUCACUAUUAGCAGAGUAUACUGUAUACAGUAUUCACUUAACAGAGUGGUGUAUACAGUAUUCACUAUUAACAGAGUGGUGUACAGUAUUCACUAUUAGCAGAGUGUGCUAUAUACAGUAUUCACUAUUAGCAGAGUAUACUGUAUACAGUAUUCACUAUUAACAGAGCAUACUGUAUACAGUAUGCACUAUUAGCAGAGUAUACUGUAUACAGUAUUCACUAUUAGCAGUGUGUACUGUAUACAGUAUUCACUAUUAGCAGAGUAUACUGUAUACAGUAUUCACUAUUAACAGAGUGGUGUAGAGUAUUCACUAUUAGCAGAGUGUGCUGUAUACAGUAUUCACUAUUAGCAGAGUGUACUGUAUACAGUAUUCACUAUUAGCAGAGUAUACUCUAUACAGUAUUCACUAUUAACAGAGUGGUGUAUACAGUAUUCGCUAUUAGCAGAGUGUACUGUAUACAGUAUUCACUAUUAGCAGAGUAUACUGUAUACAGUAUUCACUUAACAGAGUGGUGUAUACAGUAUUCACUAUUAGCAGAGUGUACUGUAUACAGUAUUCACUAUUAGCAGAGUAUACUCUAUACAGUAUUCACAAUUAACAGUGGUGUAUACAGUAUGCACUAUUAGUAGAGUAUACUGUAUACAGUAUUCACUAUUAGCAGAGUGUACUGUAUACAGUAUUCACUAUUAGCAGAGUGUACUGUAUGCAGUAUUCACUAUUAGCAGAGUAUACUGUAUACAGUAUUCACUAUUAACAGAGCAUACUGUAUACAGUAUUCACUAUUAGAAGAGUGUACUGUAUACAGUAUUCACUAUUCGCAGAGUGUACUGUAUACAGUAGUCACCAUUAGCAGAGUAUACUGUAUACAGUAUUCACUAUUAGCAGAGUGUACUGUAUACAGUAUUCACUAUUAGCAGAGUAUACUCUAUACAGUAUUCACUUAACAGAGUGGUGUAUACAGUAUUCACUAUUAGUAGAGUGUACUGUAUACAGUAUUCACUAUUAACAGAGUAUACUGUAUACAGUAUUCACUAUUAGCAGAGUAUACUGUAUACAGUAUUCACUAUUAGCAGAGUAUACUGUAUACAGUAUUCACUAUUAGCAGAGUAUACUGUAUACAAUAUUCACUAACAGCUUUUCACUGAAGGUGACAGCUGGACCAGAAGGGCAUAUAGACCGCCCUCAGGACUGACUGACGAAGACACCAGAACACACACACUGAAGUACACACACUCACUGACGUACAGAAACAAACAUACACACUCUCACACACACUGACGUAGGCUAUACAUACAUACAUAUCGUCACACACACACACACACAGCACAGACUCCAUUGAGGACCAAAACGAGGCACGACGGGACUUGGCAGUGCGACAUGGAAUGUUUUAAUCAUUGAUUCUGGAUGGUUACAGUAGUUCUGGAUAAUGCUCGUUGUGACAUAAUGCCAUGUACUCUAAUAGCCAUCGGAAUCCUCCUGCAAGUACAGAGAGGGAAAAGUUACUUCAGGAAUUAUUAGUAUUACAUUAUGUUCCUAUUUGUGUAAUAACUGAUAACAAAUGAUCCCAAAGUGAAUCACAAACAUACCAUAGACGGAGGGUGAUGAUGGUGGAUGAAACCCAAAAACAUUACUGUGAAGUCAUGGGAACCUCACCCUUCUGAACGGAAAUCCACAACAAAAGAAACAAUUAAACACAAACAAAAACUAUGUAAAACAAUCUGAUGAAUGAAACAUGGAGGAUGAUGACUCAGUAAAAACGGGAGGAUGAUGACUCAGUAAAAACGUGAGGAUGAUGACUCAGUAAAAACGGGAGGAUGAUGACUCAGUAAAAACGGGAGGAUGAUGAGGAGUUAACCAUUAAUCACUGAUUCAAUGACAGAGUUACUGUACAGUCCUGUAGGUUCUCUCUCCAACCCUGUUCCUGGAGAGCUACCCUCCUGUAGGUUUUCAUUCCCACCCUGUUCCUGGAGAGCUACCCUCCUGUAGGUUUUCAUUCCCACCCUGUUCCUGGAGAGCUACCCUCCUGUAGGUUUUCAUUCCCACCCUGUUCCUGGAGAGAUACUAACCUCCUGUAGGUUUUAACUCCAACCCUGUUCCCGGAGAGAUACCCUCCUGUAGGUUUUCAAUCCAAUUCCAGUUGUAACUAACCUGAUUCAACUUAUUAACCAGCUAAUUACAAGAGUCAGGUGCGCUAGGUUAGGGUUGGAGAGAGAAUCUACAGGAUGGUACAGUAACUCUCCAGGAACAGGGUUGGAGAGAGAACCUACAGGAUGGUACGGUAACUCUCCAGGAACAGGGUUGGAGAGAGAACCUACAGGACGGUACAGUAACUCUCCAGGAACAGGGUUGGAGAGAGAACCUACAGGACGGUACAGUAACUCUCCAGGAACAGGGUUGGAGAGAGAACCUACAGGACGGUACAGUAACUCUCCAGGAACAGGGUUGGAGAGCCUUGGUCUACAGCCUCGGACCCCGAGGUUCCAUCUACAGAAAGCCUGUUGAAAUAGUGAUCUAGAAGAUGUUAAGCGUGACGGUAAAUGUCCCACCUCUGCAGCAUCAUCGCCCUCUGGGUCCGCUGGAGACUCGUUGAUGGGCAAGUCUUUAGACAUAGCAUCUUCAUCCUGCAAUAAUAACACAUUCACUGACCAGGUCAACAAUGGACAAGUGUCCCAAAUAACCCUGUUAGACUAUUACCUUGUGUUAGUUGGUUGCUGCUGC
ensembl:lncRNA